GAUGAACGCUGGCGGCGUGCUUAACACAUGCAAGUCGAACGGAAAGGCCAGUGCUUGCGCUGGUACUCGAGUGGCGAACGGGUGAGUAACACGUGGGUGAUCUGCCCUGCACUUCGGGAUAAGCUUGGGAAACUGGGUCUAAUACCGGAUAGGACCAUUGGUUGGUGCCUUUGGUGGAAAGUUUUUUCGGUGUGGGAUGAGCUCGCGGCCUAUCAGCUUGUUGUGGGUAAUGGCCUACCAAGGCGUCGACGGGUAGCCGGCCUGAGAGGGUGUACGGCCACAUUGGGACUGAGAUACGGCCCAGACUCCUACGGGAGGCAGCAGUGGGGAAUAUUGCACAAUGGGCGCAAGUCUGAUGCAGCGACG
rnacentral:rRNA from 1 species